rnacentral:rRNA from 1 species
GCUCCAUGAUUCAGCGGCGGACGGGUGAGUAAUGCCUAGGAAUCUGCCUAUUAGUGGGGGACAACGUUUCGAAAGGAACGCUAAUACCGCAUACGUCCUACGGGAGAAAGCAGGGGACCUUCGGGCCUUGCGCUAAUAGAUGAGCCUAGGUCGGAUUAGCUAGUUGGUGAGGUAAUGGCUCACCAAGGCGACGAUCCGUAACUGGUCUGAGAGGAUGAUCAGUCACACUGGAACUGAGACACGGUCCAGACUCCUACGGGAGGCAGCAGUGGGGAAUAUUGGACAAUGGGCGAAAGCCUGAUCCAGCCAUGCCGCGUGUGUGAAGAAGGUCUUCGGAUUGUAAAGCACUUUAAGUUGGGAGGAAGGGCAUUAACCUAAUACGUUAGUGUUUUGACGUUACCGACAGAAUAAGCACCGGCUAACUUCGUGCCAGCAGCCGCGGUAAUACGAAGGGUGCAAGCGUUAAUCGGAAUUACUGGGCGUAAAGCGCGCGUAGGUGGUUUGUUAAGUUGGAUGUGAAAGCCCCGGGCUCAACCUGGGAACUGCAUCCAAAACUGGCAAGCUAGAGUAUGGCAGAGGGUGGUGGAAUUUCCUGUGUAG